UUACGGUUAACAAUGUGCAAGUUCUAAAGAACAUACCCGUUACAAAAAUUAUAAAUAUGAUGCAGUUUCACACUACCAAUAGCGCAAUGUUUACAUUAUUUAUUGCCACUGCAGAACUCAACUAUGGUAACACACAAAUAUAUCGAUAAAUCAAUGGUGUCAUCAUUUUGUUUGCAUUGUUUACUUUUCAAAAAAGAAAGCUUGGCGAAUGUGUGCACAGCCUCUUGACAAAUCAAAUUGUGUUGUCAUGCGGUCAAUUAUGAAAUGCAGACCGCCAUACAUAUGCCAUAUAAUUGGACUAUGCGAUUUCGUAAUAAUUGGAUAACUUUCACGGCGUGGAAAGAGGCCAUGAAACCAAAGCGUGUGACAAUGAUAAAAAAUGUGUUGUUGCACUAACAAUGCAAGGGAACAAUAAAACAUAAAAAUCUGCACCAAAAAUUAGCAUUCAAUACCAAUUGAUAAUGCUGGCAAUUUAUGCCAUAAACAUAAAUACACAACCUAACUGGCUGCCUUUCAAACACAUGCCAUGGAAAAUAUUACGGUAUAACCAAAUCAUAUGAAUUAGCAUGCUAAUAAAAAUGUGAGAAGCUGCGACUGAGUAAAAAAACAAACCUAGACAUAACGUGGAAGACGCGCGCCCAACACUAGUCUCGUGUAUGCGUGGUUUAACAUGUGAUCAUCACGCUAGUUUUGAGAUCCAAUGUUGAUGCCAAGUUUAACUGCCGCUGGUGUUUUUGAUGAUAACUGGUCUUUCUCAUGAAUAUCGGAUUGAGUCAGCGAAUGUUCGAGACUGCUACGAAAGCGAGUUUAACGCUAAAUUAAUUGAUUUCUGCUUGCUUAGAACUACAUAUAUUACGCCAAUAUUGGUGGUGGUGUUUUUAGGAAUUCGCAAUAUAAUUUAUACAAAAAACUGAUAUUUGACGAAGCAAAAGCUGUUUGUGCUUCAUAAAUAUGAAAUUGCCAAUGUCAUUCUGGCUUUUCUAAUGUGGUCAGCCAAUACCGAGAGACAUUUUUGCUAAACUUUAACCGGUUGCGCUUAAGCGAAAUAUGACUGUUUAAAAGUAUAUAUGCACCAAUAUAAAUAUGGGCAUUUGCAAAUUAUUGAUUCGGGAUGACUUGAAAUAUUUGGGAUGACUUGGAAUUUUUGGCGACUUGUUUCAAAACAUACAAAUAUUUUAUUUAGCAUUUCUAAAAACAGAAAAAACAAAAAAUUUUUGAAAGCUUAAAAGUUGUUUUCUAAGCUAUUGACGUCGUUGACUGUAAAAUGUUUGUGAAAUUAAAUUUAUCGACGUAUUUAAGCACACAUUAAUGUUUAAAGUGUGCUAAUUUAUUAAAAUAUUGUUUUUCUACGUUAUUUUGUUUACAUUUUAA